rnacentral:rRNA from 1 species
UACGUAGGGUGCGAGCGUUGUCCGGAAUUACUGGGCGUAAAGAGCUCGUAGGUGGUUUGUCGCGUUGUUCGUGAAAACUCACAGCUCAACUGUGGGCGUGCGGGCGAUACGGGGCAGACUGGAGUACUGCAGGGGAGACUGGAAUUCCUGGUGUAGCGGUGGAAUGCGCAGAUAUCAGGAGGAACACCGGUGGCGAAGGCGGGAUCCUGGGCCAGUACUGACGCUGAGGAGCGAAAGCGUGGGGAGCAAACAGG